rnacentral:rRNA from 1 species
UCGAGAAUCUUCGGCAAUGGGCGAAAGCCUGACCGAGCGAUGCCGCGUGUGGGAUGAAGGCCUUCGGGUUGUAAACCACUGUCGUAGGGGACGAAAUUUCACUGGGUUCUCCCAGUGAAUUGACCGAUCCUAGGAGGAAGGGUGGGCUAAGUUCGUGCCAGCAGCCGCGGUAAGACGUACCACCCAAACGUUAUUCGGAAUUACUGGGCUUAAAGAGUCCGUAGGCGGUCAGGAAAGUUGGGCGUGAAAUACCUCGGCUCAACCGAGGAAUUGCGCUCAAAACUACCUGGCUUGAGAGAGACAGAGGUGAGCGGAACUGAUGGUGGAGCGGUGAAAUGCGUUGAUAUCAUCAGGAACACCGGUGGCGAAAGCGGCUCACUGGGUCUUUUCUGACGCUGAG